rnacentral:rRNA from 1 species
GACAGAGGAGCCAAGCGUUGUCCGGAUUGACUGGGCGUAAAGCGCACGCAGGCGGCUCGGCGCGUGGGGUGUGAAAGCUGGCGGCUUAACUGCCAGACGCCAUCCCAUACGGCGUGGGCUCGAGCCCUGCAGAGGUCCAUGGAUUGCCGGGUGUAGUGGUGAAAUGCGUAGAGAUCGGCAGGAACAGCCCAGGGGAAACCAGCCGACUGGGCCAUGAU